CCCUUAGAUGUUCUGGGCUGCACACGUGCUACACUGGCAGGUUCAGCGAGCUUCAUGCCCUGAUCUGAAAGGAAUGGGAAAUCUUUUCAAAACCUGCCGUGCUUGGGAUAGAUGUUUGCAAUUAUUCACCUUCAACGAGGAUUGCCUUGUAAGCGCACGUCAUCAGCGUGCAUUGAAUACGACCCUGUAUUCUGUACACACCGCCCGUCGCUCCUACCGAUUGAAGUUUUCGGUGAGUUGACAGGAGGAUUUUUUUGAAACUGGUUCGCCAGUGGAUUUUAGAUCCAAAUGCCAACGAAUCGAUGGCUUUAGAGGAAGGAGAAGUCGUAACA
rnacentral:rRNA from 1 species